AGACCCGCCUCUCCCGCGGCGCCUCCGCCUCACUCCAUCCGGCUCCCAAGUAGCCGCGGGAAGCGUGCUGCCCAGGCGCAAGGGAAACGCUGCAGGCACCGGGGAAACGGCGGCCCCGGCCGCUCCGAGCAAUCCGCCCCCUGCUCCCGCCACCCGAGCCCGGCCACGAGCCGUCGGCUCGGCUCUGCCCGACCGGGCUCAGCCGCUCGCGGACUGCACCAUUUUCUUCGCAGCCCGCCCGGAGCCGAGGCGCCGGCUCACUCGGCGGCGUGCAGAGAAUCCCGGCCGGGUCUCGGCGUCCCGCGAUCGGGCUCCUUGGCGCGCGGCGGCCGCGAGGUGAAUGGGGCGAGGGUGGGGGAGGGAGGCCGGGGCGCGGGGCUUCCCCUCCCCGCCUCCUCCUCCUCCUCUAGCCGCGGCGGCUCGGGAGCCUCGCGGGCGCGGCCGGUGCUGGGGAGCGAGAGCCCAGGCUGCGCCCGGGGUGCUCGCGAAAUCGCAUCGCCCGGCUGCGGGCGCCGGAGGAAGCCGCUGCCGCGCUCGCUCGCUCGCUCGCUCAGCUCGGGCGCCCGGCGCUGCAGCCUUGGCUAAAACCCACAGACGAGAACACGGAGCGCGCAGCCAAAAGCUAGUGAUGUCAUCCGUGCAACUUUGAAAAUCGGGAACGAGGCGUUUCAGUGCCAUCUAGUGGGGGAGGGGCGUGCCUCCCUUUCUGAUCCUGGAUGCGGCACUGGGAUUUGCUGAAAGGGACAGCAGAGCCUGAGGAUGUCCGCCCGGUUCCUGGGUGCCCGGCUGGCAGAGAGGCGUGGGCAUGUGCCCUUUGCCAACCCCUGGUGCCCUGGGUCCCCUGGGACGGCGAGGUGGGGCCCAGGGACUUGACCACAAUUUCUUCUCACCUUCCUUUCUACCCUCCUCCCACCAGUUCCCUCUCCCCCAACGUGAAAAUGUGGAAACGAGCGCAAACACUUUGCACACAUGGAGACAAUGUCUGAAAUUUCUGGAGCUAUUUUCUCCUGUAAAGCCCAGAGCACUAUGUCUAUGUUUGACCAUAGGGAGAAGGCAGAAAGGUGAAAUGAUACCUACAAGGUCACUCAGCAAGUUGGUACACAUCCAGCAUUAGAGCCUCACUCUCCUGAUUCUCAGUUCUCCCCUCCCCUGCGAACCAGCUAGGAGAGGUGCCCCUGGAGACCCCUGGAAGCCCAGGUAGCCACCCAUUUGGCAAUAAAGGAGCCUGACCAUUUUAUCCCUAUCUGCCCUCCCUUUUCCAUUAUCCCAUUCCUUUCUUGUUCUUCCUUUUUACCAUUUUCUCUUGGCCUAUGCCUUAGGCCUACUUCCAAGACUAUGCCUUGCCUCUCCUCCCAUGGUCCUCCUCAGCAGUCCGGUGAUUAGGGCCCUGCUAAGAGAAGGGACCCAAUGGCACACUGUCCUUUUUUCUGAACAUCAUUAAAAUUAUAUUUUGAAAUGUUUGUCCCUGGUGACAUCCCAAAAGCCUUUUAAAGAUGUUCAUUUGAGGCCUCCUUUGAAAUGCUGUUUUCCUGGACAGUCCUGCUCCAUUUUGAGAAGAUCCUUGUUGGGGCCAGGCGGGAAGGGAAACUCCUCAAGAUGGCAGAUACACCAAAAUGGCUGAGGUUCCUGUCACCACCUCCACUUGGGACACCAAUGGACCAAUGACCUGCUGACAGCUUGAGCAGACCCUUACACCUCUCCUUUGGACUUCCCCAACCGAACCCAAUGCCCUUCAAACCCCAGAGGAGGAAGUCACCUUUGACUGGUCGAAUUGCAAUCCUUCCUUUGCAUAUGAGCCAACCAAUAGGAAACCGUUCUGCCUUACAACGUUAUGUAAACCCCGACCACCUUGUCUUGGCGCGACUUCCUCGACUCACUCUCUUUCCCCCAUGAGUCGUGGAACCUCGCCCGAGGGUGCCUGCAAUAAAAUCUGUUCUUGGACCCUCGCUUGCCUUGGCGGUCUCAUUUCCA
rnacentral:lncRNA from 1 species